AGGACGAACGCUGGCGGCGUGCCUAACACAUGCAAGUCGAGCGAGGGGAGUUCUUCGGAACGAACCUAGCGGCGGACGGGUGAGUAACACGUGGGCAACCUACCUCAAAGAGGGGGAUAGCCUCCCGAAAGGGAGAUUAAUACCGCAUAAAAUCAUGCUCUCGCAUGGGAGAAUGAUCAAAGGAGCAAUCCGCUUUGAGAUGGGCCCGCGGCGCAUUAGCUAGUUGGUGAGGUAACGGCUCACCAAGGCCACGAUGCGUAGCCGACCUGAGAGGGUGAUCGGCCACAUUGGAACUGAGAUACGGUCCAGACUCCUACGGGAGGCAGCAGUGGGGAAUAUUGCACAAUGGGCGAAAGCCUGAUGCAGCAACGCCGCGUGAGUGAUGAAGGCCUUCGGGUUGUAAAGCUCUGUCUUUUGGGACGAUAAUGACGGUACCAAAGGAGGAAGCCACGGCUAACUACGUGCCAGCAGCCGCGGUAAUACGUACGUGGCAAGCGUUGUCCGGAAUUACUGGGCGUAAAGAAUGCGUAGGUGGAUAUGCAAGUCAGAUGUGAAAUACCCGGG
rnacentral:rRNA from 1 species